rnacentral:lncRNA from 1 species
GGAUAAGCAAAAUUAGCAAAAAGCAUAAAUAGUUACAAGAGUAAAGAUGACGAAAGAGAUGAGAAUAGGUAAUUGAGAAAAUGGAUGAGGUGGUGGAGUAUCAUAUAGCAAAACUGGAAGCUUAAAGGACGAAAAUAUCCUCCAAUGCCAAGCAAGCGCUUCAACGAUGCAGCUGUACAGGCUUCAGGUUCUUUUCUGCAUCUUCUUCCCAAAUAAUUGUAACGCUCUAUUAAAUGACAGUUAAAAAUUAUCAAUCAUAAAAUGAUUUAGUCCACAGUUGAACACAAAAAAGAGUACCAAAAGAUGUUGUAUAAAUAAAACACUAACCAAAAUCAUUCAUGAAACUACAGAUAAUAGAAAAUCAAAAUUAAGAUGAUGGAAAGACGGCGGAAGGUAGAAGAGUAAAACUGUGGAAGAAAUGCCAAUAAACAGAGAGAUGAUGGAGAGACGGUGGAAGAUAGAAGAGUAAAAUGGUGGAAGAGAUGAGAAUAAACAGAGAAUGGAUAAACAAACGGUGGAGUUCAGCUGUAAAUUUGAAACCUUAAAAGACAAAAA